rnacentral:misc_RNA from 1 species
GAUGAAGAACGUAGCGAAAUGCGAUAAGUAAUGUGAAUUGCAGAAUUCCGUGAAUCAUCGAAUCUUUGAACGCACAUUGCGCCCCCUGGCAUUCCGGGGGGCAUGCCUGUCCGAGCGUCAUUUCUGCCCUCCAGCCCGGCUGGGUGUUGGGCGCUGUCCCCCCGGGGACACGCCCCAAAGGCAGUGGCGGCGCCGCGUCGGGUCCUCGAGCGUAUGGGGCUUUGUCACCCGCUCGGGACGGACUCGUCGGCGCUGGUCUUCCUCCAGGCGACCCUUCGGGGCUCGUCUUCCUUCGGUUGACCUCGGAUCAGGUAGGGUUACCCGCUGAACUUAAGCAUAUCAAUAAGCGGA